GAAGGGUCGGCUGAUCGCUGCCGGAAUGCAGAGCGAGUUCUAGGGAAAUAGAGUCUCCUGGGAAUAGGGUGGCUGCUGAGCUGCCUUGAGGAAUAGCGGUGUUAUUCUCUUUUUCUUUGGGCCCUGCCUGUUUAAACUGAGUCCCUUACGAAAAGGACGUGGCGUGGCAGAUGGGCCCAGCCUCCCGCCCUCUCCGUGACUCAGGGAAACGGCCUCCUUGCAGAGCGCUUUCUUGGCAGCCGGCUGCAGUACUCCUCCCCCGCCUACUUUAAUACCGUGGGUGGUUUCUUACGUCUGUGGGAGGGGGAAUGAAAUGGGGUUUAUAAGAUCCUCCCUGCCCUUAUGCACAACCCUUCUGACGCUUGGAGAUGCUGACGCUUGGAUUCUAACUAGAACUAGCAAUUUCUUUUGCAUAUUACCUAAAUAACUGGCUCAAAGGACAGUGAAGGCCAUUUAUGAGGUGUCUCAGCUGGCCUUGAGAUAGCUUAUUUCUGCGGACAUUUUGGAGGACAUGAUGAGAGAAGAAUCUUUGGAAGGUAAAAGAGGAGACAGAAGGCUGUUAUGCAAAGGAUAAGAGUUAAUAUUUAUGAGAGAGCGCACACAAGGGAGCACAAGCAUGGGGAGCAGCAGAGGGAGAGGAAGAAGCAGGCUCCCCGCUGAGAAGAGAAGAGAAGCCAACUUGGGGCUCUAUCCCAGGUCCCCCAGGAUCAUGACCUUAGCUAAAGGCAGGUACUUAACUGACUGAGUCAUACAGUUGCCCCUGUAUCUAUUGCUAUUAAUGUAUUGUCCUGGCUUUUAGUUUCAUAAAAGUAUUUUAUUAAGUAGCCAUAUUAAUAAAAGUGGUCAAAUUCUUCCAGUUUGAAGCUAUUUUUAUCCGAAUAUUCAAUAGUAGUGCCUCACUCUGAGUCACAGCAAGCACCAUUAGCAAAACUGCAUUGCUCAUAUGCUAUUUUGAGGAAUGUCGGUUUCUCAAAACCUAUACA